AUCUCAUCUAUGCACCUGCGGCGCUCAGUGUGAGCGAGCGGUCAGCAGGAAGUGAGCGUCUCGUGGCAGCUGCAGUCCGACUGACUUCCUUUCGUCACCAUGGAGGCGACGGCCAAAUACGACUAUGAAGCCACAGUCAACGAGGAGCUCAGCUUCAGAAAGGAAGAGCUGUUGAUGGUUCUGCAGACGUCUGGAAACUGGUACACUGCAGAGCUCAAUGGACGGGAGGGAUUAGUACCCAAGAACUUCAUCAACAUUAAUCUGCCCAGCUGGUACCGGGAGGACUUCAGCCGCGGAGACGCCGAGGAGAAGCUGAUGCAACAGCCCGUCGGGGCGUUCCUCCUCCGGGGGAGCCGGAAGGCCGUUCUGGGGGACUUCUCCAUCUCCGUCAGACACCCGGAAAACGUGCAGCACUUCAAGGUGCUGCGGGACAGCAGGGGGCGGUACUACCUCUGGUCGGAGAAGUUCCCUUCACUCAACCAGCUGGUGGAGUACUACAAACACAACUCCAUCUCCAUUGAGAGCCAGAUGGUCCUCCUGGAGACGCCUCAUCUGUUUGUGUCUCCACAGCAACGAGGCUCACAGGAUGCUCCUCCUCUUCCUGCUCCUCCUCCCGCCUCCUGCCCACCUCCACCUUCACCUCCACCUGCUGCAGCCCGACAGGUCAGAGCUCUGUACAGCUUCCACGCCGAGGAGAUGGACGAGCUGACGUUCAAUGCCGGUGACGUCAUUUUGGUUCUGGAGCGCUCCGACCGGGCCUGGUGGAGGGGGCGGGUGGGGGGCAGGACGGGGCUGUUCCCCUCCAACUACACCCAACCCGUCUGAGAGGACACUCAACUACACCCAACUACACCCAACUACAUCCUACUACACCCAACCACACCCAACCCAUCUGAGAGGAUUCCCAACUACCACCUACUACACCCAACUACACCCAACCCGUCCGAGAGGACACCCAACUACCACCU